CCUACGGGAGGCAGCAGUGAGGAAUAUUGGUCAAUGGACGAGAGUCUGAACCAGCCAAGUAGCGUGAAGGAUGACUGCCCUAUGGGUUGUAAACUUCUUUUAUAUGGGAAAAAAACGUUCCACGUGUGGGAUUUUGUAUGUACCAUAUGAAUAAGGAUCGGCUAACCCCGUGCCAGCAGCCGCGGUAAUACGGAGGAGCCGAGCGUUAUCCGGAUUUAUUGGGCUUAAAGGGAGCGUAGGUGGAUGGUUAAGUCAGUUGUGAAAGUUUGCGGCUCAACCCUAGAAUUGCAGUUGAAACUGGCAGUCUUGAGUACAGUAGAGGUGGGCGGAAUUCGAGGUGUAGCGGUGAAAUGCUUAGAGAUCACGAAGAACUCCGAUUGCGAAGGCAGUUCACUGGACUGCAACUGACACUGAGGCUCGAAAGUGUGGGUAUCAAACAGGAUUAGAUACCCGGGUAGUC
rnacentral:rRNA from 1 species